rnacentral:rRNA from 1 species
GAUGAACGCUGGCGGCGUGCCUAAUACAUGCAAGUCGAGCGAACGGACGAGAAGCUUGCUCCUCUGAUGUUAGCGGCGGACGGGUGAGUAACACGUGGAUAACCUACCUAUAAGACUGGGAUAACUUCGGGAAACCGGAGCUAAUACCGGAUAAUAUUUUGAACCGCAUGGUUCAAAAGUGAAAGACGGUCUUGCUGUCACUUAUAGAUGGAUCCGCGCUGCAUUAGCUAGUUGGUAAGGUAACGGCUUACCAAGGCAACGAUGCGUAGCCGACCUGAGAGGGUGAUCGGCCACACUGGAACUGAGACACGGUCCAGACUCCUACGGGAGGCAGCAGUAGGGAAUCUUCCGCAAUGGGCGAAGGCCUGACGGAGCAACGCCGCGUGAGUGAUGAAGGUCUUCGGAUCGUAAAACUCUGUUAUUAGGGAAGAACAAAUGUGUAAGUAACUAUGCACGUCUUGACGGUACCUAAUCAGAAAGCCACGGCUAACUACGUG